GCCCACAUAGCUCAGAGGUAGAGCACCCCCUUGGUAAGGGGGAGGUCGAAGGUUCGAUUCCUUCUGUGGGCACCA
rnacentral:tRNA from 1 species